CUGUGAUGAUGAUGUUGAUGAUAUGAUGAUGCUGAUGAUAAUGAUGGCAUCAUUAUCAUAAUUAUCAUCAGCAUCAUCAUAUCAUCAUCAUCACAG
rnacentral:pre_miRNA from 1 species